UUCGCAAUGCCCGAAAGGGUGACGAAGCGACGCCGCGUGUGGGAAGAAGGCCUUCGGGUUGUAAACCACUGUCGGGAGUUAAGAAAUGCAAGGAUAUGAAUAGUGUCUUUGCUUGACUAAGGCUCCGGAGGAAGCCACGGCUAACUCUGUGCCAGCAGCCGCGGUAAUACAGAGGCGGCAAGCGUUGUUCGGAAUUAUUGGGCGUAAAGAGCACGUAGGCGGCUAUGUAAGUCGGUUGUGAAAGCCUUCCGCUCAACGGGAGAACAGCAUCCGAUACUGCAUGGCUUGAGUGCGGGAGGGGAGAGUGGAACUUCUGGUGGAGCGGUGAAAUGCGUAGAUAUCAGAAGGAACGCCGGCGGCGAAAGCGGCUCUCUGGCCCAUAACUGACGCUGAGUGUGCGAAAGCUAGGGGAGCAAACGGGAUUAGAUACCCCGGUAGUCCUAGCCGUAAACGAUGGGCACUAAGUAGAGGGGUUUUA
rnacentral:rRNA from 1 species